rnacentral:rRNA from 1 species
GACGAACGCUGGCGGCGUGCUUAACACAUGCAAGUCGAACGAAGAGCGAUGGGAGCUUGCUUCUAUCAAUCUUAGUGGCGAACGGGUGAGUAACGCGUAAUCAACCUGCCCUUCAGAGGGGGACAACAGUUGGAAACGACUGCUAAUACCGCAUACGAUCUAAACUCGGCAUCGAGGAUAGAUGAAAGGUGGCCUCUACAUGUAAGCUAUCACUGAAGGAGGGGAUUGCGUCUGAUUAGCUAGUUGGAGGGGUAACGGCCCACCAAGGCGAUGAUCAGUAGCCGGUCUGAGAGGAUGAACGGCCGCAUUGGGACUGAGACACGGCCCAGACUCCUACGGGAGGCAGCAGUGGGGAAUCUUCCGCAAUGGACGAAAGUCUGACGGAGCAACGCCGCGUGAGUGAUGACGGCCUUCGGGUUGUAAAGCUCUGUUAAUCGGGACGAAAGGCCUUCUUGCGAAUAGUGAGAAGGAUUGACGGUACCGGAAUAGAAAGCCACGGCUAACAACGUG